CAGUCUUUAGGCAAUGUUUCAGGCUUUUACUCUGAAAAAUAAGGGAGAAAACCCACUUUCAAUGAGAGGACAGUGGAAAUUUCCAGACACGAGUCCAGCGUGUGACUGGGAGCGCACCUUUCUUGUUUGUCCUUUUCUACUGAUGAAGCUAUUGUCCGGUUUAAAUUUGAUCGAUUAUUUAUGACAAAAACAACCUGAGGAUUGAUUAUAAACAGCGUUUGACAUGUUUCUACGAACUUUUAUGGGCGGCAGGUAGCCUAGUGGUUCGAGCAUUGGACUAGUAACUGAAAGGUUGCAAGAUCGAACUGACAAGUCGUUACAGAAUCCCCCACCAACAACGGACCAAGCAGCGGAGGAAGGAGCAGCGCCAGGAGGAGCAAGAAUCCUGGACCAGGGAGAGAAAAGACUGGACAUGGGAGGACAUCCUGGAAGGCAAGGGAUCCUACACUUGGGAGGAGAUCCUGGUCGGAAGGGAUCGCCUCACAUGGGAACAGGUAGAGGCACUCAGAAGAGUGGAGGCAGCAGGAAAAAAGGACCAAAUGUAUGAGGGAACACGGCUGGGUAGGAAGCCCGAGAGGCACACGGGGAGUGUGGCAGAGUCAGGUUGGAGACCUGAGCCAGCUCCCCGUGCUUACAGGAGGCAGCGCAGUACUGGUCAGACACCGUGUUAUGCGGUAAAGCGCACGGUGUCCCCAGUACGCGUGCAGAGCCCGGUGCGCUACAUCCCAGCUCCUAACAUCUGCCGGGGGAGGUUGGGCAUCGAGCCAGGGCAGGUUGUGCAGGCCGUGCGCUCUAGACCUCCAGUGCGUCUUCUGGACCCGGUCCGUCCUGUGCCUCCUCCUAGGACUAGGCCUCCAGUGGGUCUCCCUAUCCUGGUCUGUCCUGUG
rnacentral:lncRNA from 1 species